rnacentral:rRNA from 1 species
GACGAACGCUGGCGGCGUGCUUAACACAUGCAAGUCGGACGGAAAGGCCCUGCUUUUGUGGGGUGCUCGAGUGGCGAACGGGUGAGUAACACGUGAGUAACCUGCCCUUGACUUUGGGAUAACUUCAGGAAACUGGGGCUAAUACCGGAUAGGAGCUCCUGCUGCAUGGUGGGGGCUGGAAAGUUUCGGCGGUUGGGGAUGGACUCGCGGCUUAUCAGCUUGUUGGUGGGGUAGUGGCUUACCAAGGCUUUGACGGGUAGCCGGCCUGAGAGGGUGACCGGCCACAUUGGGACUGAGAUACGGCCCAGACUCCUACGGGAGGCAGCAGUGGGGAAUAUUGCACAAUGGGCGGAAGCCUGAUGCAGCAACGCCGCGUGCGGGAUGACGGCCUUCGGGUUGUAAACCGCUUUCGCCUGUGACGAAGCGUGAGUGACGGUAAUGGGUAAAGAAGCACCGGCUAACUACGUG